GUCUACAGCCAUACCACCCUGAACACACCCGAUCUCGUCUGAUCUCAGAAGCUAAGCAGGGUUGGGCCUGCUUAGCACUUGAAUGGGAGA
rnacentral:rRNA from 1 species